GCCGAAGUGGCGGAAUUGGUAGACGCGUUGGUCUCAAAAAUCAAUGAGCUUUAUGCUCGUGCCGGUUCGAUUCCGGCCUUCGGUACCA
rnacentral:tRNA from 1 species